rnacentral:rRNA from 1 species
GACGAACGCUGGCGGCGUGCUUAACACAUGCAAGUCGAACGGAAAGGCCUGCUUUCCCUUGUGGAUUGCGGGUACUCGAGUGGCGAACGGGUGAGUAACAUGUGAGUGAUCUGCCCCCAACUUGGGUAUAAGCCUGGGAAACUGGGUCUAAUUCCCGAUAGGACUGCAGGGUGGUGCCUGUGGUGGAACACGAUUUUCUAGUGGUUGGGGAUGAGCUCGCGGCCUAUCAGCUUGUUGGUGGGGUAAUGGCCUACCAAGGCGGCGACGGGUAGCCGGCCUGAGAGGGUGGACGGCCACAUUGGGACUGAGAUACGGCCCAGACUCCUACGGGAGGCAGCAGUGGGGAAUAUUGCACAAUGGGCGGAAGCCUGAUGCAGCGACGCCGCGUGGGGGAUGACGGCCUUCGGGUUGUAAACUCCUUUCGACCGCGAGGAAGCCACCUGGUUGGAAGGGUGGUGACGGUAGUGGUAGAAGAAGCACCGGCUAACUACGUG